GGAAGGUGGUGAGUGUUGCGUCUCCGCCUGCUUCGAACUUCAUCAGUUUUAAAAGUAGCCUGUUAGGACAGUAUGGAUCCAUCAGAACUAAGGUAUUUGGAGGAUGAUAAUACUCCCACAAUGAAAACAAUUAAGGGUGCAACUAUGGGUUUAGUUGCUGGAACUAUCUGGGGGACUGUUGUUGCCACUUGGUAUGAUGUGCCUCGUGUUGAGAAACAUAUUGCACUUCCAGGGCUAAUAAGGACCGUCAAGAUGAUGGGUAACCACGGCAUAACUUUUGCAGCAAUUGGAGGAGUUUACAUUGGUGUUGAGCAGAUGAUGCAGCAUUAUAGGAUGAAAAGAGAUUUUGUCAAUGGAGCUGUUGGUGGCUUUGUUGCUGGGGCUUCCAUUUUAGGCUUCAAAGGAAGGAGCAUCUCAACAGCUAUUUCUGCUGGAACAGCACUGGCAGUUACUUCUGCAGCAAUUGAUGCUGGAGGUCAAACCACAAGAAUAGACACUGGCAAGGAGUACUACCCGUACACCACCAAGAAGAGAUCCACAGUAGAGAGUUAAUUUCUUGGCGCUAAUGGGGAAGAAAUUUUAUGGUUUCCCGAAUGACCUGUAUGUUUUUGGAGACGUAAUUGUAUUCUCGGAUCUCAUAUCUGCAGCUCACUUAGUGCCUGAAUGGGUGAUCAAACUAAAUUCAGUUGUCAUUCUGUUCAAAAGAUCUGUUGGAUGUUUAUUUUGCAGCUUGAGACGGCAAUUUUUAUCUGUGAAACUAAAUUAAAGAGGCCAAGAAAAAUAAUUGAUAUCGUACCUUUGAAAGUGGGAGAAGGAUUAUGUGGAGAGUUUUCUUUACCUUGUGCAAACCAAAGUUGUUAAAAACUUGGGUUUGAUUAUCAAACUUCGUUAUGAAGAAUUUCUACAUUAUUUGAUUGCAGUUGGCACCAAGCAUACAAGUUUCUUCAAAUAUCUUCUGUUCUGCGCAACCAUAUAAGAGCAAUCCAACCGGAGAGAUGUAAAUGGUGCAAAAUCAAAUUGGAAGUUCUAGCAAGUAGCUUCCUACACUGUAAAUAUUAUAAAGUCGUGUAAGCUACCUCAAAUAAACAGUGUUUGGUGCCUUGCCUUGAACUGUCAGGUUGUGGUCAAGUUAUUUUGGCCUCUCGAUAAGAACAGUAAAAUCAUUUGAAAUUAUUCUAUGCUUCUAACUAAUUCCUUAUCU
rnacentral:misc_RNA from 1 species